rnacentral:lncRNA from 1 species
CUAUGGGAUCAGUAGCUGUCGCCACACUACUGUUCACCACUACUACAGUCCGACUCAUUGUUUCCCCCGUGUUUUGUCUGCAGCGUCAAGUACAACAGUUUCACGGCCCUGGGAGCUCAGAGUCUGGCUUCCAGUCUGAGGGACUGUCCAUGGAUCAAGAGUCUGGGGAUGUGGAAUGUGUGUAUUCCCUACGGAGUGUUAGAGAGACUGCAACAACAGGACCCACGGAUACAACUGCUCUAGAACAUUGUUCUAAUGUUGUUCUAACAGAACCCCAGAGGAUACAGCUGCUCUAGA